CUAUUCUCUUUGGUAUUUUUACAGUUUUUUUCCCUCAGUGUUUUCCAAUUUCACUAUGGAAUGUCUAGAAGUAUUUGCAGUUGUUGUUUAAGUGUGUUAAUGCUUGGACAGUGUUGUACUGGUAAAUAUUUAACAACUGGAGUGAGAGUGGGACAAUUUAUAGUGAGUUUACCAAUGUUUGUGAUAUAAACAUUCCCACUAUGGCCUACUUCAAAGAUGUCACAAAAGUGACAUCUUUGGAUACAAACUUUGGAACAGAUGCUAUAUAGCAUGCUGCUGGAUUUCAGCCACAGACAUACAAUAGACAUAACUUCGAGGACACAGCUUUUGUGCAGUCUCUGAGAACUUGGCUACAGAAACAUCGCCAGGAAGAAGCAGAACACGGGAGCAGAGAGGGAAAGAGUCCUCCUCACGUGCGUCACUUGCGGCACAGGCGAGCCUCUUCUGGUUCUUCAGAUGAGAAAACCAGGAUAUAAAUUAAGAAUAACAUACCUGUGAUGAUGCAGCUGUGAAGGCCGAGCUGGAUCUGAGGCUGCUGACUUUGCUCUCCCUUUCCUCCUGCCAUUCCAUACGCCAGGAAAGGUGAAGCCGUUGGCUGAGCAUAGGAGAAUUCAGGUCCUCUUCCAAAAGGCUAUGCUUUUCACAAAUUAAAACAAAAGUUAAGACUUAAGCACUUGGUUAUCAUGAUUCAUUUUUGUGUGUGUAGUAGCAAACUGUUUUUGACAGUACUGAGGAUUGACCCAGGGGCUUCCCACUGAGC
ensembl:lncRNA